UAAUCUGGUGUGGCCUCAAGAAACAAAGG
rnacentral:piRNA from 1 species